CAGUCCGCUCCCUCGCUCCCAAUUUAGUCCCCGCCGCUCCCAGGGACUGGAGCACAGUUGGAUCAUGCUCAGGAGGUGACACGAGCAGCCCCAGUAAAACCGUUUCUCUCUCAGCCUGCUCCGUCCACUCCUCUCCCUCUAUCCAGCCCAGCCUCUCAGUAAAACCGUCUCUCUCUCAGCCUGCUCCGUCCACUCCUCUCCCUCUAUCCAGCCCAGCCUCUCAGUAAAACCGUCUCUCUCUCAGCCUGCGCCGUCCACUCCUCUCCCUCUAUCCAGCCCAGCCUCUCCUCUCUUCAGCCUCAGAGCCAUGGACUCUUCCCAUGAGGUUCCCUUCAUGGAUGGUCUCACUAUGAAGGAGAUAGCCCCAGCCUCGGCCCCAGAUGCCAACGUCUACACCAAGUUCAUGAGGAACCACUGCUGCUACGACGCCAUUCCAACCAGCUCCAAACUGGUCAUCUUCGACACCACCUUGCAGGUAAAAAAAGCUUUCUUUGCUCUGGUGGCGAACGGUGUUCGUGCGGCGCCGCUGUGGGACAACAAGCUGCAGUGUUUUGUAGGUAUGCUGACCAUCACAGACUUUAUCAACAUUCUCCACCGGUAUUGGCAGUCUCCUCUGGUAGAGAUCUACGAACUGGAGGAGCACAAGAUAGAAGACUGUAGAGAGGAAUUGCUGAAGUACUCCAACCAUACUCUGAUUAGUAUCACCCCUGACUCCAGCCUUUUUGAUGCCAUCUAUUCUCUGCUGAAGUAUAAGAUCCAUCGGCUGCCUGUGAUCGACCCAGAGUCUGGCAACGUCCUGCACAUCCUCACCCACAAACGUAUCCUCAAGUUCCUGCAUAUCUUUGGCACCAUGAUCCCGAAGCCUCGGUAUCUCCAGAAGAGAAUUGAGGAGGUGGACAUUGGAACAUUUAAACAGAUUGCUACUGUCCGGGAGACAGACACGGUGUACGACGCCCUGGCCAUCUUCGUACAGCGGAGGGUUUCCGCUCUGCCAGUGGUCAAUGAGGAGGGGAAAAUCAAGGCCCUGUACUCCAGGUUUGAUGUGAUUAAUCUGGCCGCUCAGAAGAACUACAAUAACCUGAACAUGACCAUGCAGGAGGCGAUCAGUAGCAGGGCCUGCUGUGUGGACGGGGUGCUGAAGUGUUACCCUCACGAGACUCUAGAGACUAUCAUCGAUCGUAUUGCUAAGGCAGAGGUCCACCGUCUCGUGCUGGUGGAUAAAGAUGACGUGGUGGGGGGGAUCGUCUCACUCUCUGACCUCCUCCAGGCCCUGGUCUUGACCCCGGCAGGUAUUGAUGCCCUUUUCUCUUAGCACCUGACUGUGGGUUGGGGGGUCCAUCUAUCACUACCCACCACCUCCCAGCCCCUCCCACCACCUCCCAGCCCCUCCCCAGCCCCAACCCCAGAGAUUUCCCGAAGAGCUCAAUCUCUGACCACUGAAGACAAAUUGGGACACAAAUUGGGACACUAAUAAUGAAUGAAGACAGAAACUCUGUAAAUAUUUUUAGAUUGUGCUCGGUAACUUUAAAAUGCUUUUUAAAAGGUUUAUUAUUUUCUGCAGGAAUACUAAUAAUACACCAAUACUUUCAUAUUUUUAUAUUCUUGUGUUUGUUUAGUACUUGUUUGUAUACAUUUUUGUAUACAUUAAUGUACAUUUGAUAAAAUCUCUCCUAUCCCGUUCAAAACUAUUAUUUAUUUACAUAUAUAUACAUAUAUAUAUAUAUAUACAGUACCAGUCAAUAGCUUUGACACACCUACUCAUUCCAGGGUUUUCUUUAUUUUGUACUAUUUGCUACAUUGUAGAAUAACAGUGAAGACAUCAACAACUAUGAAAUAACACAUGGAAUCAUGAAGUGACCAAAAACAGUGUUAAACAAAUCUAAAUAUAUUUAAUAUUUUGAGAUUCUUCAAAGUAGCCACCCUUUGCCUUGAUGACAGCUUUGCAUAGUCUUGGCAUUCUCUCAACCAGUUUCACCUGGAAUGCCUUUUCAACAGUCUUGAAGGAGUUCCCACUUAUGUUGAGCGCUUGUUGGCUGCUUUUCCUUCACUCUGCGAUCAAACUCAUCCCAAACUAUCUCAAUUUGGUUGAGGUCGGGUGAUUGUGGAGGCCAGGUCAUCUGCUGCAGCACUCCAUCACUCUCCUUCUUGGUCAAAUAGCCUUUACACAGCCUGGAGGUGUGUUGGGUCAUUGUCCUGUUGAAAAACAAAUGAUAGUUCCACUAAGCACAAACCAGAUGGGAUGGUGUAUUGCUGCAGAAUGCUGUGGUAACCAUGCUGGUUAAGUGUGCCUUGAAUUCUAAAUAAAUCACUGACAGUGUCACCAGCAAAGCACCAUCACACCUCCUCCUCCAUGCUUCACGGUGGGAACCACACAUGCGGAGAUCAUCCGUUCACCUACUCAAAAAGACGGUUGGAACCAAAAAUCUUAAAUUUGAACUCAUCAGACCAAAAGGCAAAUUUCCACCGUUCCAAUGUCCAUUCCUCAUGUUUCUUGGCCCAAAAAAAGUAUAUUUUUCUUAUUCGUGUCCUUUAGUAGUGGUUUCUUUGCAGCAAUUUGACCAUGAAGGCCGCGGUCAUGCAGUCUCCUCUGAACAGUUGAUGUUGAGAUGCGUCUGUUACUUGAACUCUGUGAAGCAUUGAUUUGGGCUCCAAUCUGAGGCUGGUAACUCUAAUGAACGUAUCCUCUGCAGCAGAGGUAACUCUGGGUCUUCCAUCCCUGAGGCUGGGUCCUCAUGAGAGCCAGUUUCAUCGUAGCGCUUGAUGAUUUUUGCGACUGCACUUGAAGAAACUUUCAAAGUUCUUGAAAUGUUGUGUAUUGACUGACCUUCAUGUCUUAAAGUAAUGAUGGACUGUC